rnacentral:rRNA from 1 species
AUUGAACGCUGGCGGCAGGCCUAACACAUGCAAGUCGAGCGGAUGAAGGGAGCUUGCUCCUGGAUUCAGCGGCGGACGGGUGAGUAAUGCCUAGGAAUCUGCCUGGUAGUGGGGGAUAACGUCCGGAAACGGGCGCUAAUAUCGCAUACGUCCUGAGGGAGAAAGUGGGGGAUCUUCGGACAUCACGCUAUCAGAUGAGCCUAGGUCGGAUUAGCUAGUUGGUGGGGUAAAGGCCUACCAAGGCGACGAUCCGUAACUGGUCUGAGAGGAUGAUCAGUCACACUGGAACUGAGACACGGUCCAGACUCCUACGGGAGGCAGCAGUGGGGAAUAUUGGACAAUGGGCGAAAGCCUGAUCCAGCCAUGCCGCGUGUGUGAAGAAGGUCUUCGGAUUGUAAAGCACUUUAAGUUGGGAAGAAGAGCAGUAAGUUAAUACCUUGCUAUUUUGACGUUACCAACAGAAUAAGCACCGGCUAACUUCGUG